rnacentral:rRNA from 1 species
GAUGAACGCUGGCGGCGUGCCUAAUACAUGCAAGUAGAACGCUGAAGCUUGGUGCUUGCACCGAGCGGAUGAGUUGCGAACGGGUGAGUAACGCGUAGGUAACCUGCCUCUUAGCGGGGGAUAACUAUUGGAGACGAUAGCUAAUACCGCAUAAAAGUCGACAUCGCAUGAUGUUGACUUGAAAGGUGCAAUUGCAUCACUAAGAGAUGGACCUGCGUUGUAUUAGCUAGUUGGUGAGGUAACGGCUCACCAAGGCGACGAUACAUAGCCGACCUGAGAGGGUGAUCGGCCACACUGGGACUGAGACACGGCCCAGACUCCUACGGGAGGCAGCAGUAGGGAAUCUUCGGCAAUGGGGGCAACCCUGACCGAGCAACGCCGCGUGAGUGAAGAAGGUUUUCGGAUCGUAAAGCUCUGUUGUAAGAGAAGAACGAGUGUGAGAGUGGAAAGUUCACGCUGUGACGGAUCUACCAGAAAGGACG